ACACUGCCUUUGAGCCCCCGCACACCUUCUUGUGGUGCUGGGGGUUAAGCUGUGGCGUCAUGGCACACUGCUGGCGCGUAACUGGAGCUGCCUGCCCUUUGUAGGUGGCCCUUUUAACCGCUAGCUACAGGC